AAAAACUGCGCAAGAUUGGGACAUCUUCUGGAAGUUUUGAAAGAAAAAAAUGGUACCUGAUGGCCAGGAAGUGUGACUAUCAACAUAAUUCCCAAGCAGUGAAAUGGGUUUCUGAUUUGGUAGAAGUUCUAGAAUAUUGAUCGUGACUGAAACAUCACACACAAGCAAAUCUAAGUGAAAUGUAACCAUGGCCACUGGCUCGUGAGCAGUGAGUAAAUAAUGCCCACUGUCCAGCAUAAAAUAGGGCUUAAUGGAGUGAGAGCAAAGUGGCAAGUAAUUAAAAGCCACUUCUAACAAUCAAGUGUGAAUGCCCCACGGGAAGGAUAUGUUCUGGACAGCUGGCCACAAAAGACUGGGGACCUCUUUCACUAAAUGACAAGCCAAUAUACUUACUCUGUAAUAAAAGUCUUCCUUCCUAGCCAUUUGCAUGGACAUACAAUCUGAAGAUUUCAUGUGGUGAUCUCUGAUUCAAAGAUUUCCUUAGUUAAGCAAAUUACUAAAGCAAAAACUUCCAUGACCUGGAAGGAAAAAGGAAACAGAGCAACCAAGGAUUCUGCCUAUAUAUGGCAAGAUUGAGCCUAUUGCCCCAUGAAUGUGGAACUCACCGAGUGUGGACACUCAGUGUUGUGCUUCACACCUUCACAAGCAUGAAGAAUAAGGCUAGUUUGUUUCCCAGGUUGACUAAUGUAGAUUGCAGCCAUCCCAAAUAUAGAAGGGAUUAACUAAUCGGACUCACUUCCUGCUAUUACCAAGCAUUGAAACUUGCAGUUGACCUUGAUGUAGGUUUUAAGGGGUGGAACACCUAGCCUUUGUCUUCCACGUAUCACCUUCUUCUAGCCCCAGCUCUCAUCACCAACAUGAAGAUGUGGUUCACCGAGUGUUGAACACCUCCUUUUGUGAAUAAAUACAGUUCCUAUUUUAUCAAUGGAGAGAUGAGGCCCUGAGAGCCAUUAAAUGAUGGAACCAGGAUUUGGAUCCAAGUUUGUCUGGUCCGGAGUCCAUGUACUUUCUGUUCUGCACUACUGCCUCUGAAGGAGGCUUAUUCCACACGCUGUAUUUCCCAGUAUUUCUUGCCUGCUGGUUCGUGGCCAGUAGAAGCCAUCAGUAGAAGGCUGGAGAACAGAAAGAAGAGAGAAACCAGAGCAAACAUUUGGAAGAACUAGCAAGCUUCAGAGUCCCUGGGCCUUUUGCCUCUCCUACGACAUGGAUCAAAGGCUGCUUCUCUGACACCUCAUUUAUUUUUCCUAAGUUUGACUUGAGAGAAAAAGUGAAAAGUUUUCCACCAAUGGACUGGAGUUCUCCUCUGCCAUCAGAGCAACACAGACAGUUUUCGCCUCCUUGCAGCUGUCUUUUAUGGCUCUAAAUAUGUGUGUUGUUUCCCUUCCUGCUCCAAUCCCCACAUCCGGGAAGUCCUACAGUUUCCUCCUCUGGGUUCUGGGAUGUGCUGAGGCAUAGCAGAGCGGGUGAUUGUCAUUGAAACUUGGCUGCAGCUGCUGCUGCUUCUGACGCUGGAGAAUGUGCACUUUAGCAUCAUGUCCCACUCUCUGAUGCUAAACAGUUCUUUUCAGUCUUUUAAUAGAUUCUUGGGGGAGGAGGAAGUGAAGGCUGAGGUUAGCUUUGUUCGCUUGUGUGCCUCUCAGUCAGAUUGGCAUCUGGCACCAAGCCUACUGUUUGGUCAGAUGGUAUUGUUUUCUGUUAUACACACACACACACACACACACACACACACACACACACACACACACACACAGCACGAGCUCAAACCAUAUGUCUCUAUGUCUUCAAGUUACGUUGCACUGACCAAAAUCAUAUUUACCACACACUGAGGUAUAAAUUCAAAAUACACGUUCUUUGGCGUCUGUAACCAUGUCAAGUGAGGUUCUGUUUUUUCAAUAUGGCAGUGGGUUGCAGGCACUAGAGAAAACUCCCUCCAACUGAUCUCUACUCUCUUUAGUGAAAAGCAUGCAUAGAAUGUGAUGAGAGGACCAGUUCAACCAAUUACCUCACGCAGAGAUAAUUCAAUCUUUCUAGGGAAGCCUCAGUGGACAAUUAAUGUGAAUUGAACUUCCCAAAUCUCUCCCUCCCAGACUUCUAAAGAUGGCUAGAAUUCAUCUAGAAAUCAUAUGAAACCCUGCCUUCUUUUUCCACCCAGACGUGGUUUUCUUCCAGCUGAAAGCUUCCCAGAGCCCCUUAAGACCUGCCUUCACUUUCUAGAGUGAGUUGAGAAACUUCAGAACUAUGAGAACAGAGGUCAGCAAACUAUGUCCCCAUGGACCAAAUCCAACCAGCUUCCUGUUUUUGUAAAUAAAGCUUUACUGAAACAAAGCGAUGCCCCCCAACUGCCUUUUUUUUUUUUUU